GAUGAAGAACGUAGCGAAAUGCGAUAAGUAAUGUGAAUUGCAGAAUUCAGUGAAUCAUCGAAUCUUUGAACGCACAUUGCGCCCGCUAGUAUUCUGGCGGGCGUGCCUGUCCGAGCGUCAUUUCAACCCUCAAGCCCCCGGGCUUGGUGUUGGGGAUCGGCGAGCCUCCGCGCCCGCCGUCCCCUAAAUCUAGUGGCGGUCUCGCUGUAGCUUCCUCUGCGUAGUAGCACACCUCGCACUGGGAAACGGCGCGGCCACGCCGUUAAACCCCCAACUUCUGAACGUUUGACCUCGGAUCAGGUAGGAAUACCCGCUGAACUUAAGCAUAUCAAUAAGCGGAGGA
rnacentral:misc_RNA from 1 species